rnacentral:rRNA from 1 species
GUCGAACGGCAGCACGGGGGCUUGCUCCUGGUGGCGAGUGGCGAACGGGUGAGUAAUGUAUCGGAACGUACCCAGUCGUGGGGGAUAACUCUCCGAAAGGAGAGCUAAUACCGCAUACGUCCUGAGGGGGAAAGCGGGGGACCUGCAAGGGCCUCGCGCGAUUGGAGCGGCCGAUAUCGGAUUAGCUAGUUGGCGGGGUAAAGGCCCACCAAGGCGACGAUCCGUAGCGGGUCUGAGAGGACGACCCGCCACACUGGAACUGAGACACGGUCCAGACUCCUACGGGAGGCAGCAGUGGGGAAUUUUGGACAAUGGGGGCAACCCUGAUCCAGCCAUUCCGCGUGAGUGAAGAAGGCCUUCGGGUUGUAAAGCUCUUUCAGCAGGAGCGAAACGGUCGUUUUUAAUACAGACGGCUAAUGACGGUACCUGCAGAAGAAGCACCGGCUAACUACGUGCCAGCAGCCGCGGUAAUACGUAGGGUGCGAGCGUUAAUCGGAAUUACUGGGCGUAAAGCGUGCGCAGGCGGCGACAUAAGACAGAUGUGAAAUCCCCGGGCUCAACCUGGGAACUGCGUUUGUGACUGUGUUGCUAGAGUGUAGCAGAGGGGGGUGGAAUUCCACGUGUAGCAGUGAAAUGCGUAGAUAUGUGGAGGAACACCGAUGGCGAAGGCAGCCCCCUGGGUUAACACUGACGCUCAUGCACGAAAGCGUGGGGAGCAAACAGGAUUAGAUACC